CCUACGGGUGGCAGCAGUGGGGAAUAUUGGGCAAUGGGCGCAAGCCUGCCCCAGCAACGCCGCGUGAAGGAAGAAGGCUUUCGGGUUGUAAACUUCUUUUGACAGGGAAGAGUAGAAGCAGGUACCUGUCGAAUAAGACACGGCUAACUACGUGACAGCAGCCGCGGUAAUACGUCGGUGGCAAGCGUUGUCCGGAUUUACUGGGUGGAAAGGGCGUGUAGCCGGGUUGACAAGUCAGAUGUGAAAUCCUGCGGCUUAACCGCAGAACUGCAUUGGAAACUGUUGAGCUUGAGUACUGGAGAGGCAGACGGAAUUCCUAGUGUAGCGGUGAAAUGCGUAGAUAUUAGGAGGAACACCAGUGGCGAAGGCGGUCUGCUGGACAGCAACUGACGGUGAGGCGCGAAAGUGUGGGGAGCAAACAGGAGUAGAGACCCCGGUAGUC
rnacentral:rRNA from 1 species